rfam:Hirschia baltica ATCC 49814, complete genome.
ACUGGUGAUUAUUGCGAGAAUUCCCCACCCGAUCCCAUCUCGAACUCGGUCGUUAAGGUUCUCUGCGCCGAUGGUACUGCGUCUUAAGGCGUGGGAGAGUAGGUCGUUGCCAGUU